rnacentral:lncRNA from 1 species
UUUUUUUGUGUGGAAACAAAUGAAUAAUGGGAAAGAAAAAAAUAAUGUUUGAAAAAAUGGCAGGAGAUCUGCCUUUCAAUUAAGAUAGGGAAGAGGUUAUGUACAUACUUAGAAUUAAAAAGAAGCACGCUCCCAACAGGUAACCGGGCAGCACUAAGGUGCAAAAGAAACCAAGGAAAAACUCUACGGUUCUACACAUCCCAAGUUAAGGCCCUUUGUCGUUGUUCGAUGUCUUCUUUCACUCUAGAGGCAACUUGCACUGCCGUUUCGAAAACACCGUUGAAGAUUCUUUUGUUCCGUUCUUUCCAGAUGUUCCAAAUAGUGUAAAUCACUACCCCAUUGAAUCGCCUUCUCUCACUUUUUUGAAUCCUGGCCUGGGAUUCCUCCCACCACCGGAUCAUCUUGCUCGGCUCCUCUAAUGGAGUGAUUAGAUUUUCGUCGAAAUGCCCCCAAGCCAGGGUGAGUGACCAAACUGAUUUGGCAAAGGGGCAAAGCAAUGCCAAAUGGAUACAAGUCUCCAACGGCCCAUUACAAAGAGUGCAGUGAUCUUGGUGAGGCCAGCCCCUUUUUGUAAAUUGUCUACGGUGAGAGCUUUUUCCACUGCCAUUGUCCAUGCGAAAACCUUGCACUUGUUUUCAGCAUGUGCUCUCCACCUUAGGCUGGACCGGAAAGGCCUCAAGGAGCCUCUAAACUGGACACGGUAAGGUGAGGAGCGGAGUAUGUUCCGUCUGCCGUCCAUCUCCAUAGAAUGGAGUCCCUCAAGCCAGGCGUAAGGUGGGUGUCCUAGGUUCUGAUCCAAAGGGAGACGAACUCCUGCAUCUGGGUUGCAGUGGUGAUUCGUCCUCGCAGCGCGUUGAUCCAGUGGUUAUCCCGGAGCUCCAUGAACACCGAUCUGUUUUUUGUCCUGGAUAUCGCAAAUAGGCUAGGAGCUAAGUGGCAUGGCGCUUCUCCAUCAAGCCAAGUGUCAUGCCAGAAACGGCAUCUAUGGCCAUCUCCAACGACGACCCUUGUUGAGGUAGUGAAAAGUGCUCGAUCAGUGUCGUCCGUCGGGGUAUCCAUGCCAGCCCAAGGCUUGGUAUCAUCCACCCAUUCCUGCCAUAACCAACGUAGGCGUAAAGCCCUGCCGAAUUUAUCAAGGUCUGGUAUCCCUAAACCGCCCAAGUCCUUCGGUCUUGUGACCGUUGCCCAAUUCGCUAGGCAGUGGCCCCCGUUGGUGUUUUCUUCUCCUUUCCAGAGGAAGGAUCUUCUGAUUCCGUCGAUUCUCUUACGAGCCCAGACUGCGAGCGGGAACACCGUCAGAUGAUAGGUUGGUAUGGAAGAGAGGACCGAUGAGACAAGAGUGAGACAGCCGGCACUAUUCAGCCACUUCCCUUUCCAGCCAGGGAGUCUAUGAGCAAUAUGUUCGAUGAGCGGCUGAACGUGCACUUUCUUUAGAGGGCGUGUAUGGAGCUGCAGGCCAAGGUAGCGGCAUGGGAAAGAUUCUCUGAUCCCAUUGAAGGGCUCAAGGACGUGGUCUAGCUCGAUGUCUUCACAACGUAUUGGAUGAACGGAGCUUUUUCCUAGGUUUAUGCGGAGACCAGAGAAAUGGCCAAAAGCCUGGAGAAUCUCCAUGACCGCCUGCAUGUCUUGUCUGACCGGGUUUAGGAGAAUGGCAGCAGCAUCUGCGUAUAACAAGGUUCUCCAUCUAGCCGUCUCUUCAGGCAACGGGGAAAGUGUGCCAUGGUUGGUUGCAAGGUCAAGUAUGCGUUGCAGAGGGUCCAUAGCUAGGAUGAAUAGCAAAGGCGAGAAAGGGUCUCCCUAACGCACCUCCCUGCAUGGAAAAGCUUUGGGCCUGGCCGACCGUUAAUGAGCACAGAGGAGGUGGCCGUGCGGAAGAGAAUGGACACCCAUUCGCGCCACCGCUGACCAAAGCCCAAAGCACGCAGUACUUCGAUGAGGUAGCUCCAGUUGAUUGUGUCAAAAGCCUUAUGAAUGUCGAGCUUCAUGAAGAGUGCAGACGUCUUAUGUCUGUGCAUUUCCCUAAUGGUGGAUUGCACGUAGAGGAAAUUAUCAUGGAUGCUUCUCUUCUUGAUGAAAGCACUCUGACAGUUGGAAACCAUAUCAUUUAGGUGGGGGCGAGUCUGUUGGCCAGCAGCUUGGCGAAGAUUUUAGCGAUGCUGUGAAUAAGGCUGAUGGGCCUGUAGUCUGUGAUUCUGAGAGCCUCAGCCUUCUUUGGGAGCAGGACAAUAUUAGCUGAGUUUAAGAGCUCGAAGCCUUGGGAGUUUAGUUGGUACAGACAGUUGAGUGCGGCCGUCAAAUCGUUCCCGAUAGUGUCCCAGCAUGCCUUAAAGAAGGCACCCGUGUAGCCAUCAGGGCCUGGCGCCUUGUCGGACGGCAUGGAGAAGACGGUGCGCCGAAUUUCGUCAUAAGAGAAAGGUAAUUCUAGGUGUUGGAGGUCCCUCGUCUCGUAACCUAGCGCCUGCCAAUCAAUGGUCAUGGUUCUAGUUGCUGCAGUGCCCAGGUGCUCACUAAAGUAAUCGUCGGCCAUCUUUUCUUUCUCAUGCUGUGAGAAGACUAUGCCAUCCUGGGACUGUAAGCAUUGGAUGUAGUUUUUCCUUCUAUGAGCAUUUGCUUUCAAGUGAAAGAGCUUGGUGUUGGCGUCUCCACAGUGAAUGUAGGUGAGCCUAGACCUCUGUCGCAUUCUCGAUUUCUCAAUGACAGCCAACCCCGUGCUACGGAUUUUGAGGCGGCGCCUUAGAUCCAACUCCUCGGCGGUGAGAGUCCUGGAUUCCUGCGCCAAUUCCAGCUGUAGGAUGAUCUCUUUGGCUAUGGCCAGCUGCAGUCUUGUGUUUCCUAUUUUUCCUCUUUUCCAUUUUUUAAGGUUCUUGGCCACUCUGGAUAGCUUGAUAUGAAGCCGCUUGAUGGGCAACGUCGUGGACAACGGCCUGUCCCAAGCCUCCUGUACCGCCUGGAAGAAGCCGUCCAUUUUUGUCCAGAAAUUUUCAAAGCGGAAGAAAGGGUUGUGGAAGUGCUCCAAAUCCCCUAGAAGCAGGAGAGGUGUGUGGUCAGACAUGAGUGAAGGCAGGGAGUGUAGAAAGCAUGCUGGGAAGAGCAGUUCCCAUUCGGGAGUGCAUAGCAGCCUGUCAAUUCGAGUCAUUGUUGGAUUUUGUUGCUCAUUACUCCAAGUGAACCGACGCCCGUUUAGCUUAAUCUCUGUCAGCCCCAGAUCAUCAAUGGUCGACUUGAAGGAGGUCAUUAAACGGCGGUUGAGGUUGGAAUUAUUUUUAUCUUCCGCCUGAUAGAUUAGGUUGAAAUCACCAAGGAUUAGCCAGCGCCCAUGCGACGGUGGGUUGAUGUUUUUGAGUUCCUGGAGGAACUGCAUCUUGUCGUCAUCGCUUUGAGGUCCGUACACCACCGUGAUUUGCCACUGAAUCGCAUCCGCGCGCAUAGAAAUGGUAGCGGUUACCGCAUGCGAAGAGAGAUGGAUGUUAGAUAGGUCGAAAAAGCUCUCAUCAGUGGCAAGGAGGAUGCCGCCUCUGGUUUGGGUGGCAGGCAGAGUCGCGAAGGAGUUUGCAAAGUUGUGUCCAACAGUGCGGGUGACCAUCAUCGCAUCAACAUCUUGUAAUUUUGUGUAACUGAUUGAUCAACAUUAAGAAAAUUGAGCAUAGACAUGGGGAGAACUUCAAAGGUUUUUGGAUCAGUAAAAAAGAUAAUGCUCAUCAAACUUUAUAUCAAACAUGAAAUUACCUGUCGAGUACUUUGAGUGGGUGUGUUGUUCCUGAACCAUAAUAUUCCCAUAGAAAUACAUCCGCACAUAAGCAAAGUUGAACCAAUCAUUGGGUGGGUUAGGUAAUCUUGGAAAUGGAAACCGAUGUUCUCUUUUAGACUUUUCCCUGCUGAGCGGAUACUUUUAGAAUUCCAUGCUUUGCUUGUUUCCUCUGGUACAAGAUCUGGCACCUUUGAAGUCUACACGCACAAAAGAGCAUUGCAAAGAUUAACGAUAUGGGGGAUAUGGUAUACACUUUGUGCAAUGUGAUUGCCCUGAAAACAUUAUUUUCAGAAGUGAAUGCAUUUUCGUCCCUGGUACAAUCAACGUUAAACCUUAAUCGCAUAUAGUAAGCCAUGGUAAAUUUUUACUGCUAGUGCCAACAAGUUAGAUAUUCUAGGUGCUUGGGUAGAUACAACAGGUGUUCAUACAAAAAUGGUUAGAGGCAACUUGUAUCGACCAAAUAAUGUUGACUGACUGUUGUCAAAAGCAUGAGAUACAUUGGAGAAAAAAGACCGAUUCUCGGCUGCAGCGGUAGCUCCAAUACUUGAGGAGUGCUACAACACGAUGAAGGAAUUUCCAGUGGCCUCAGAUUGAGCACUGUGAUAGAGAGCAAAUCAAGUUGCCCAUGAGCUGGCAUGGAAACUUUUAUUUCAUAAGAUUUUUUUUAUUUGGGUAGAUUCACCCCCUAGUUUUCUUUUCCAUGUUUUAUCAAAUGACGUAACACUGUUAUCAGAUGCAUAAUAAAGCUUGCCGAAAGGCUUAUAUAAAAAAAAGACAGGAUCAAGUAAGGCUCUGUUUGGAAGCAACCUAGUUUUUAAGAAUCCAGUUUUUAUUUCCAGUUUCUAGAAACGGGUUUAUAAAAAAACUGGUUAAUAAUUUUGGAACCACCCCAGCUUUUAAUAAACUGGCUUUAGCUAGGGGAGGCUAGCUUCUUGGUUUUUAAGAAACCGAGAAUCCAGUUUCUAUAAAUUGAGGCAUAAACUAGUAUGUUUGGAACCACUCCAGUUUUCAUAAACCAGUUUCUUGAAAUCUGGGUGCUUCCAAACAUGCCCUAAGACAAGCCAAGCAAUUCAUUCAGUCAUUCUUUGGUCUAUGUGAAAGUACAUUCCAUUUCUUAUAUAUUCUUACCCCCUUUCAUUUAUGGAUACAUGCUGGAGAGUGAAAAGGUAAUCUAAUUCAAAAUCAUUAAUGGAAUGAACAUUCUUGAAGUCUACAUGUCUAGCUAACCUUGUACACAAUAACAUAAAUGUUUUUUCUUGUAAAACUAUCGAUUCAACUAGGCAAAGGUCCAGUGCAACAUCCUGCAGAUUUUUACAAAAAAAUAAUCUUGUAUUCCCUACAUUCUAAAUUAUAAGAUGUUUUAGCAUUUCUAGAUACAUAGAUUUUGCUAUGCGCUUAGAUAUACACUAUGUUUAGAUACAGAUAAAAAAUGUAUCUAGAAAAGCCAAAACGUCUUAUGAUUUAGAACAGAGGGAGUAACAUGCAAGAGACUUACAAAGUAAGGAAUUUCUCUAGUAUCUCCAUCUUUGAUAAUCUGAGAGAUCCACCUAUUUAUCUGGAAUAUUAGUUAAAAGAGGUAUAGAAUUAGCAUUUAGCAGUGAUCUUUUAGUGUUGGUGUACCUAACCUGACAUAAUUAUCAGAAGGCAAAGAUAAUGCACUAGAAGGUAGGAAACCUUAAAUUCUCACCUCUUCAAUUUCAACUGGGCCCUUGUACCUUGCCACUAACUGGGACGCAUCAGCAUGCUGUCCCUGGAGAACAUCCACAAGAUUGUUCUUUUUUUCAGCUUUCAGUGCCUCAUAUGUUGCAUUUCUUUGGAAUCGAACAAUAAAAAUUUCAGGUUUAUCAUUGUCAUCUCCAAAGUCUCGAGGGCCACAGGCUCCAGUAUAAUCAGUGGCAAGGUAGAAGGCACAAAUUUGCUGUGAAAAUAUAUGUUUAUUAUGUUAUUCGUAUUUACAAAUAUAAUAAGAGCAAUAGAGCUGGUCCUAACAAAUCAAUCUACACCUGCAAACUAACAAGAAAUAACAUUCCAAACUGGAUGUUAUCCAAUCCCGAAGAUGACUAGAUAAUAAGAGAUAAAUAGUAAAGUUUGAAAUUAUAAAGCAGUCUACCUUUUGUACUUCUCCAUCUAACCAAACAAAGGUUAACCUAUCAUCUUUGAAGGCAGUUGCAGCACUUGAUGUCUCUACUGAAUUGUCAACGUUCCCAGCACUUCUGUCAACAUCACCUAACAAUUUGUCUUGAGCCUUCCGCAAAAUCUAGUUUCAAAUACAAACUAAUAUGCUUAGCAAACUAGUAAUGAAGCUUAUUCAGAUACCAUACCAAUUUGCGCAUUACAAUUAACUAUGAAAACUUACUUGUCUCUUCUUGCUUAAUUCUGCACCUGGACGACCAGCAACAAUUACACAAUACCAAAUUGCUGCAUCAUUGCCAGCACGUGAAUGACCUCUAGCAUCACAACCCAGUUCCAAAGAUGUGUCACUUCUUAGCUGUCGCAGUUCUAAACAAGAAGUCAAGAACAGUAAAGGAGUGAAUGUGGUGAUAAAGAAAUGUUUUGUUUCAUUUAAGGAAACUGCAACCUAAACAAUAUUACACAGCUUGACAAUUCAGUGCAAUUGGUUCAGAAACUGUUCAACAAUACCAUGGUGCUUGUGCUCCUCCAUCAUCUCUAUGAACUCUGACUUGCUAAAAAUUCCUGAUUGGGAGGUCAACAAUCAGCAUAACUUCCUUCCGCAUUAAAAAAACAAACUUAAGGGGGGAGGAAUCUUGCCAUGGUGUACAAAAGGCGUUGUGCCUGGCCCCUUCAAGAAAACAAGUGCUGGAGCCGAUUCCACCCCUAACCUGAUCCAAAGUAGACAAGAUUGUGUAACCAAUUUUACCAUGUGUACUAACAGAUGGGACCAUGGUAAUGUUUUGCUUCAUUAAAAUGCAGUAGCUCAAUGCUCACUGAUGUUGAAAUCAGUAACUCACAUGUUUUUUAUGCUAGGAAGCUAGUAUUUAUGAUAUCAGAAUUCAAUUAUCAGACUGUAACACUAACUAUCUGAUUAAUGGUUUCUCUGGAACCAAAAAAUGGGAAACUUUUGAGUCAAGGGAAAAGCAAAGGAUCAGGAAAUAAAUCAUUGACAAAGUUGAGUUGAGACUAUUUUUGAACUUAAGGUUGGAUGCACCACCAUAUGUAAAACCUACUCGCAUGAAAUGGUAUGUCCGUAUGUGCAAUAAGACUUCAUCAAUAAAGAUGAUCAUAAUAAAUACUAUAUAAUACCACCGAAACAAUAAAAACGGAAACAUGGGAAGGACAUGUUCAGGCAAACAAAAGAAAUUUGGUGAUUAUUAUCCAAUAUAUCUAAAUAAUUCUUAGUUGGAAUAUAUCUAAAUAUUAUAUAAUGUCAUCUGAGAAAAUUUGAUGAUCAAUGACAAGUAGCUAAGUACGAAAUAAUUACUGUAAAUAGGAACUGAUGACCAAUUGUGUAAAAUGUGCAGAUUCUGCUGAAUGAAUUUCUGCAACUAAUAGACUUAAAUGCUAGUACAUCAGCUAAUAGACGUAAAUUGCAUCAGCUAAUAAUUUUUUCAUAUUUAUUUACUCACUAUAAAAGUAUAUAUAAUAUUAAACUGUUAUAAACAACUAGCAUUAAUACAUUAUACAAAAGCAUGAUUUAUAGAUAAAAAUAAGCUGCACAAAAACUCAGAAAGCACAUACGAAUUCCACCAAAUCUGGGAUUCGUCUUCUCUCCAUAGGACAAAUCCAAAUGAUGAAUAACUUGAAUACUCUUGGGCAGCUUGGCGAACGAAUGGAGCAGCACGCUCUCCAGUACUUGAGAAAAAGAUAGUUUUGACCUGCAUAAUGCAUCCAAAGAUGGCAUGAGCAAUUGUGAGUAGCCAAAAGCCUAAAAGGUAAAGGUGCUUCAGCAAAAGCUAUUCAACCUUAUGAUUGCCACUCUUCCCAAUGAAUUGGGGGCCCUGAAAAUAAAGAUCUGCAUUAGAACCAUAAUUCCUAAGGUAAACCUAUCGAACGUAGCUACAACUGUUGAAAAAUAACACUGAACAGGGCAGAGAUAUGCAAAACAACAAGAACAAUACAUAGAGGAGUUUGUCGGUUGGUUACUUUUAUGGUUACUAAUUAGACAUAAGGAUUGUGCAAAAGAAAUUGUGGUGCAGAUUCAUAUUCAUGAUUCAGUAGGUCACAUGGAUAUUAGUUACUAACUCAAAUAAUAGAUAAAAUUUCCAACAGGCCUUCAAUUUGCUAAUUUCAAAUAUUUAGAAAGAACACAUCUGUGGGAAAGAAAAGUGCUUGAUGUAUUGCAUAGGAGAUGAGGUACAAUAUAUAGACUACAAGACCCUAACCCUACAGUGGUACCGGCCCACAGACACACACAGUCUAACACCCCCCGCAGUCGCAAAGAGGGCACCACACACGAUGAGACUGGAGUAGAAGCCGAAGGUAGGAGCCGACGGGUUGAAAUCCCCUCGUAGUCGCAGCGUCGUGAAGGUGCGAAUGUUGUAGCUGGAGUAGAGACCAAUGUAGACUCCGAGAAGACGAUAGCCCCUGGAUGCCGAGUUAGCCGAAUUCGAGAUGGCCGUGGUCGGGAGACACAGCAGUAGCAUGUUCUUCGCGAGGGGUCGACGUUCGAGCGUUAAUGAUCGGCGAGGCGACACAAAGGGACAACAACAACCUCAGGGCCUUCUUGCUUCGUUCCGCGGCCGGUCAUCGAGGAGCCUCGCCAGGGAGGCCGGCGACAGCACACGCUUCUGCGUCGGACAGGGUGGUCACACUCGCGGCAAGAAGGGGUAUCGGCGGAUCAGGCCGGGAAGGCCACGACAGCGGCGGAUCCGGCCAAAGGGAUGACGGACCCAGUCGCGAAGGCCGCAACAGCGUGGAUCGGCCAGGAAGGUCGCGGCAGCGACGGAACCAACGAUGGCGGCGAUGAAGGGGGAAGGCGACGGGGCGUUUCCAGCCGGGCAAGGGCCUGCGCUGGGCCUGACAGGGGAUGUGUGACACCGGUGACAAGAGAAGCGUGAAGAGGAGGCACUGAUGGGUGACGGCGCAGUCAGAGGUGCCCGGUCGUCGCGGCCAUCAGCGCGGUCCGAGGGUCAGCCUGCCUCUGUCAGCGGAUCAGGGCGGCCAGUGUUGGGGAGGGGAGCGAGGUCGCCUGGGGCGACGGCCACCAUGGGCGCAGCAGGAGAGGAAGACCCACCGGAGCCGCUACAAGCGCUGCGAGAAAGCAGAGGCGGCCUGAGCCAGCGGGGCUGUCCUCGCAGCAGAGAAGAGCGUGGCAGCAAGGGAGACCGUGGGCCAGGCAGUGUCGUCUAGGAAAGUAGUCAUCGACACGGAGGGGCCGACACGCCGUGGCCGGGGAUGGGGGUCGUAGCUGCGCCUGCUCGCACGUCAGUGAUGGGCCAGUUCGGUGGCCGGAGGAAUCCGAGUGUCGUGGCGAACCCUGGUCGGCGGUGACGUGUAGGAUCUGGGGGUGGGCGUGCGGGAGCUCCAUGGGCGCUGGCCGGCGACGAGGGAGGAUGCCGAGAGGAGGACGAGGUGGCCGGCAUCCUGGGUGUGGACGGCGACUGGGGUCGGAGGCGGCUUAGAAGAGGAACCGCGAGGACGAUAUCCACCGUGCGAACGCAGCUCGGCCAGGCGGUGUGGGUGGAGGUCCUCGCGGGGCGUAUCUGAGCCGCCGGUGGAGGGGCGGCGUCGGCGCGAGCUCCAUGGGCGUUGUUCGGCUUCGGGGGCGAGGGCCGGUGGCUUGGAAGGGGAGCCGCCCCGGGAGGGAAGACGAACCUCCCGGGGACGGCAGAGCGUAAGCAGGUAGGCCGGCGGCUAGGUGUUCACGGUGGCAGCUGAUACUCAAGAGAAGAGGAAAACCCUCAUCUGAUACCAUAUGGGAAUGUAAAGUGCUUGAUGUAAUGCAUAGGAGGUGGGGUACAAUAUAUAGACUCACAGAACCCUAACCCUAAUGGGUCGACAGCCCGGCAGUGGUGCCGGCCCCCACACACACAGUCUAACAACAUCUAUAUAGAAUAAAUUAAGAUAUAGAACUAAUCAUAAGGCUCACCAAUGUCUCCUUUGAAUAGUACAAGAUCCGAGGCAAUCCUACAACUGAUGUUGCAACCCAAUCAACAACAGAAUCCACAAAAAGCCCACCUGGGUACCUAGGCAUAGAAAACAUGGCUAUUUAGAUCGCCUACCAAAUAUGACAUGUCUUCAGCACAGAUGGGAAAUGGUGUGGCAUAAAAUCUCAUCUUGGGAAUGCUGAUAUAGCAGGAAAAGAAGAGUCACAGACUUAAAUAUGAUCAGGAAUCUGAUAGUCUAGCCAAAAUAGUCACCUCAUGUAACAGGAUGGACUUUUGCAGUUAGCAGGGUAUGCAACAAGUGUUGGUACACCUGCACGAAUCAAAUGAGUAUGGAAUGAAUGAACAAUAACAAAAAGAAUACAUUUUUUUCUCAACAGAAAAAUGAGGACAGAACUUCUCCACUACCAAAAAAUAGCAAUCCACUUCCCUUACUGACCAAAAUCCAUGUAACAAACUAACAAUGUUUCAAAUAGAGGGUCAAUAUGUUGAAGUGGAUCACCUGUAAAACCUAAACUAACUUAAGUUUGCAUCAUUAUGACUAACAAGACUUGUUGCAUUGACAUACCAUUACGGAAAAAUGGCCGUUUCGAGAACCGUUUUUCGGCGAAAUAACCAGCCACUUGUGAAUCACCAACUUCUACCAUAGCAGUUCUGACAAUUCCAUCCAAUUGAGUGCCUAGACCAUGCAAUCAAAUAUUAUGAGGAGGGAUCAAGUAGGAGAAUGACUUGGAAAUUCUAAAUUCACAAUGUUUGUUAGUAGUUAUUGUUGGCAACACCAAAUAAUUUCUAAAGGAACAGAAAAUAUUGUUGAGUCGACUCAACGGCCAAAUGAUCCAUAAAGUACCGCUCAGACAAAAUGUUAAAAUUUCAAAGCUUGCUCACCUAAGGAAUAAUCUCAGUCUUAAUUAACAAAUUCAAAGAAGAGUGACUGGAAGUGACAAAAUUUAUAGCAUCCAGGUACUUCAGUAGACAAAUUCGAUUAUAUCAGUACAUGCCUUUUUCAUAGCACACCACAUGGCAGUGCAUUAAAUAGUAACUAAUGUCUUUUCUAGACCUGAGUACCUGACCCUGCAAUUUACCGCAAUUCCAAUUUUCAUCAUCCUUCAAUAUCAUUAACAGCUAACGUCGAUGCAACUUAUCUCAUCUAUUAAGUUGUAUGCACUGACCAGUUCAACCCAAAAUAUUAAAUAGAUGGAAGAGAUGGACAAUUCACUUAUACUCCAACACUCCCCCUCACAUCCUCAGACCUCAGGCAUUGAAUAGAAGCGAGCAGCAAUUAUUUUUUUAUCUAAUUGCGGUAGCCAGGAUUAACUUGAGGCAUCUCCGCAUCUAGCUUCGAUACCAUAUUAAGUUGUAUGCACCGACCAAUUCAACCCGCUUAAGCUGAUAUGGAGAGGUGAAUAAUUCACUAAUACUCCAACAACAUCAAUAGUAAAUAAAUUCAUGUAAGACUAUUGGUGUGAAGCAACAAACAAAACACAUCAGCCAAAUGUGUAGACCUACAAUAUGUUGCAUUUUCCAUUAAGUUUCUAAAUGUGUUGGUUUUUGUUGGAGCGAAGGCCGGCCGCCCCCCUCGCUCGGUUCAUUUUUAAUGUGAACAGAAUAUGUCGCGGCGGCUGGAGAGCCGAGUCUACCUCAAUCAAGCGAAGGCUUUGGGACAAAGGGAUCAAUCAGGACAUGUGAAGGCCAUGACGGGACCCGAAGACCCGACGCCCUAAGGCGAAGGCUGCAGCCAUUACUCGCACAUGUCAAUGAAGGGGGCCAAUGCGGCGCCAUGCUGGAUUGUUCAGCCCCACGCUUCAGUGAGUCUAGGGUAGUGUUGAUAGUAUGUCAGUCCGAGUUGUACUUAACCACGUUUUAAUGACCCGUAAUGCCCCCUUGAGGGGGGAAUAUUAUGGGGAUAAUGUAGGUAACCAAGGGCAUGAUUCUACUAAUGAGGGUGAGACCACCCCCUGGUUAUCUAUAAAUACCCCUGCACUGUACCUUGACGGGACAGGCGGAAAAACAUUGUUUCUCUAAUCCGUCGUAUUGCUAAGCAUCAAAGUGUUCCCGUUUCCCAUUGCUUGGACCCACUUGGCCACGUGUCAGUGAGUUCCAACAGUUUUCUUUCCAAACGAAGCAACAAAUAAAAAAUACCAUCCAAGUCGGAACAAAGAAACACACCAAUUUGCUUCCAGUACUCAAUAAAUUGAGCACACCGAGGACUCCCCUUUGAAUAUACCUACAAAAGAGAACAAGAAUCAGCAGUACGUUCGGUGAUUCCUUCCAGAAGAAGAUACUAACAACAUGCAUAAGUAAUGUAAAUAAAAUAACGGAAGGUUAAUUGGUUACAGAGUUUAGCAUAAAAACUAACAAGUAUGAUUAACGGGUAUUCUUCACUAAUAGCAGACAUGAACGACUCAUGUGUGAGUACAUUGAAGGCAUCAUCGAUCAAACCUAGGAAUUGAAAUAGUUUUAUGUCAAACACAACAAAAGCAAGGAAAUAUAUCAGUACAAUUGACAAGCGAUUAGAUAGGCGGAACUUACUGACUACAGAGUCUUUUAACAAUGGAAGAUCAAUUUUGAGAAAGUGCACCAUUUGAUAUUGUUCUUUGACUCUCUCAAGGACAUCCUACCAGAUGGAAGGGGAAAGCUCUUAGACCGAUAGGGAAAUAGAAGUGAUAAAAGUGAAGAAACUUUCAAUUGAUAGACGUGCACGUGAACAGAGAGGAGGGAGAGUGGUAACCUUAUGCUCAUCCAGUCCAAAAAGAUCAUAGUCCCUCUUUAAAACUGGAUUUGUCAACAGCUCAUAUGCAUAACGGAUCUGUACGGACAAUCAAAGAAUUGUGAAGUUUCAUAUUAAUCUAAUAGCAAGCAUUGGGGGGGGGGGGGGGGGGGCAGAAGAAAAACUGAAUGGUAGUUAGUUUAUAAUCUCAAUGAUUCUAAGUUGAAUGACAGGUGUGAAAAGCGUAUGACUACAUAGAUACAUGAAUGGUGAAUCCACUAUGGAAAGUUAUUGCCAUGUCUAGCAAGUAGAGGCGAUUCUUACAAAAUAAUCACUAUGUUCUAUGCAAACAUUACCAACUACCAAGUCUAGUAGACUGAGCUCUAGAUUUUGACCUCACCUUUAUAAUAUCAACAGUUGGUUGGUGACUCGUUUCAGAUAGCCUGAGUUAACAUCGACAAAAGGUUCACUCAGAUUUUGUAAAGGAGGUAUCCAAAAGAAUAAAAGCAACCAGUACAGAUAAGCAACAAGCGAGCAAUCAUCCACGGUAUCUUACUAAUUUCCCUCAAACGAACAGUAUCUUACUAACACUGGAGUGGCAAAACGAGUGAUAUGUCUGUGCGCUACCUCGAUGCUGGUGAUUCAGUCAAGCACUAAUCAUGUCCAAACAAACUCUUUCGUUCCAUAUACGUAAAGGCAGAUCAGACGAGAUUUUGCACACACGCAGAGGGAGAGAACCAUGCACAAGUGCAGAAACACCACCAAACUAGUAAACCAUACCCGUUACGACUCGCAAUAGUCGAGAACUGCACUUCCCACAACGAACCACACAGAACAAGCCCCACUUCCAAACCAAUUCAAUCAAAAGCUAUCAGUAAGUCGCAUCGAUCGCACUCACCACUCCUUGGAGAGCGACUCGUAUGCCUCCACGACCCGCUCGACAGACGCGAACCUCUCCACUCCCAAUACUGCAAACCACACAGCACGACCAAUCCACACCAGUCUCAGAAGUCAGAACGCGGCCGAAUCGGAGAGCGCGAGGCGGGAGUGAGGACGGCGGAGGAGCUCUCACCGUCGUAGUGAGUGGGCGGGAAGUGGCGGGGCAGGACGAGGACCUGGAACAGGAAUCCGGCGGUGAAUAGGAGUAUCGGCAGCCAGUAGCGGCGCACCUGCGCCGGAAUCUCCAUCGCCAUCGACGGAGACGGACGGCGCGGGCGGAAAAGGCGAAGGUAUCGGGGUUUGCGUGGGGGCGAGGGGUUUGCUUUGGUUAAGCUUUUUCUAGGAGGCACUUAGAUUAGUUCGCGUUCAAAUAGAGGAUAGCAUGGAUCUGUGUAUGGAAGGUCCAGCACUAUCUCAAGUAGUGCCCCUAUUUCACACGCAGUCCCUAUUUCAAAAACAAUAAAUCUCCCUAUUUCAAAAACAAUAAAUCUAUGGCACGUCCAUAUAGAAAAAGUCCACCGAAGAUAACCUAAAAAUGCCGAAGCGUGCAGACACGGCGGUGGCGCAGUGGUAUAUACUAUGGACAAAUCUAGGUAGUUAAUUAGUGAUAGUGAUUGAGGGUGCAAAUGCAACUCUUAUAAAAACAUAAACGGUGAUUAUAUGACUACAAUUCCACUGUGUAUACACCUUCUAUGGUAUAAAUAUAUACACUACUCAUUUUUUGUUGGAACAUAUUAUGUACGAACCAACUCACUGAUGUGAAUCAUGCAAAACAAUACAAUAAUGUAGAUGGGAUACAUUUUAAAUCAAGUCUUCUACCUAUUUGCUAUUUUUCCUAUUUUGGGUCAAUUCCUUGUAUGCCAUCGGAAAAUAUACUCAUUCCUUAUGUGUCACUAGCCCCAUAUGUCAUACACAAAAAAUAUACUUAUAUGUCACUCAGUGGCACACAAGGAAUGAGUAUAAAAUCUGAUGGCAUACCAGAAAUUUUUUCUAUUUUUAAAGGGGUUCUUAUAUCUCCAUUCAUAUGUUGGUUUGCACCUUAUAUAUCUCCUUUUUGUUUUUAAGCUUCGCUAAUGUGUGAAGUUCAUUCAACAUAGAUAGAUAGGAUGACAUAUGGUUAUUAGACACUGCCAUUAUAUGAUAUACUUUUGGUGUUAUUUUUUGAAUUAAAAUUUUAUUUAAGCUAAAUCUAGUUGAUAUUUGCACUAUAUAUCUUGGUAUUAUUUUCAGUAGAUCUGUUCAAGAGGUAUAACUAAUAUGGAAUCUAACAAAAUAUGCUCACAUGGUGAUGAAAUCCCUUCAUAGAGGAUAAAAUAUAAGAUCGGUGUUAUAUAUAGUAUGUGAACUUUUUCAUUGCUACAUAAGGAAGGCAAUUUUAUUGGUUGAUGUCACCAUGUAUCUUUUCUAAUCAAACUUGUCUAUGAUGCUUAAGCUAAGGUCCUUUAAAGCAUUUAGGCCUUAGUUUGAUUUCGAUGAUAAAUAACAAACGAUAACACUAAAUUAUUUUAACCAACGUGUGUUUUGUAUAAACAAUGGAACUUAGGACACAAAAUGGUGAUUGAUUGAGUGUAUGUAGAUUUUGUACCUCUAUUGAUGGUAUUCAUUUUUAGUUUUUAAAUGAUGUGUGAGAAGGUUAAGGACCAAUUAGUUUUAAAUGUUAGUUGAGCUGAUGGAUACAUAUUUAGCGAUAUAACCAUUUUUUCCUUUGGUAAAUGAAUAAAGGAGGAGCAUGGAUGAGUAGCUUGACCUAGGUAAGCCUAAUGAUAAGUGAUGAUACACACUUAUGAAAUCUAGUACUAGAUAAGUAGGUAGUCAUAUAGAACCCAAGAUAUGUUUGAGAACAACUCCAACUGAAAGUGUUUGAAAUAGAUGAGUUGAUCAUGUUGCAGUUGCACUAGAUAUGAAACACCGGACACGAACUUCCCCUAUUCAAAAUAGGGAGAUAACUGAUGUAACAGGUAUGCAUUGGAUAGGGCACCUAGAUGGACUUAUAGGUUGUCUUUAGAGCUUGUACACUCACCAAAUGCGUUCGAUAAGGCACCAGAUAUGCCACUCUCCCUUGGCCAGCACUUAGAAACAGUAGUAUCGGCUAUACGGUUUGGUGAUGAUAGAGUUUGGUGAUCAUCCAAUGGGAUUAUAGGUGGCCCAACUCAAAGUGUAAGCAACUGUGGGUGGUGUAUCAUGCUAGAGUGGCAAAGAAUCUAUGGGCACUUGAUACUAUGUGGAUCAAGAGAGAACGACACCCAUGCGUGUCUAAUAAGGACUAAUGGGGAUUGCCGACUCUCUUAUACCUCAGAAAAAUACCGUUGUCUUUCUAACCAUUAUUACUUGAAGCACUUUCUUUAACCAUUUACUAUGAGUGUUUACUUUGAUCAAUUCAAUUAUUAUUUUUACAUUACUAGAAUUGUCAUACUAAAAUAGGGCUGACACUCAAAGCGCCAAACUCUUGUGCUAAGAAUAGAAAAGACUUUCUAAGCAAAAAUUGUAAAAUCAGCUAAUUGAUAGGAUUUAAUUGUUGCGAGAAAUUUUAGAUUAGUCUAGUUCACCCCUUCCUUGGACAUAUUGAUCCUUUCAAUCCUCUUUGGAUCCUAUGAUUUAAAAUUUAGCCACUAAAUUUUAGACCACUUUAGGCUUUGAGGCUCGUAUAGGAUGUAAGUGCAUUGAAGUUUAGACCAUUUUACAGAACUUUACAAUAAUGAGUUGAAACGGCCUAAUGGUUUUUCUCAACUUUAGUCAACUAAAUUUUAUGCCCAAUAAUCCAAAUUGGUCCAAUUUGAGUCAAAUAAAUUUAUAUAUUAUAAUCCAAAUAGACAUGAAAUCUAGUUGAUAUGUGUAAAAAGGUGAGCCAUUUUAUUUCUUUUUUGACUUCCCAUUUAAAAGAACUUAAGUGAUAAUCCAGUGCUAGAGACAUUCACACGAGUUAAGAACUUAAGAGUUGAUCCACUUCUAAAAACUCCCAUAUGAGUGAAGUCUAAACUAGAUUCUAAAGAAAGGAUAAACCAAGACAAGUCUUCUCAUAUCAAUGAAGUUGUUUAUUUGUUCAUGUUUGAUAGCCAACUUUGCGGCUUCGGGCGAUGAAACAGUGAUGAUUAUGUUGAGUAAGCCUCUCGCAGCUAUUUAACCAUGAUCAACCAAGCCACAGGUUUGUUUGGAUGGACACAUUUUAAAAAUUGAUUUAAAACUUGUUCGUUUGUCCAAAAAUCAACCAAGAAUUUUUCAGCUGAACAAAGCUUAUAUCAAUUAGACAAGCAGACUAGAAAUUGUUUCAGACAAGCCCAUGAAAAUUGCUGAACAAAGCUUAUAUCAAUUAGACAAGGAGACUAAAAAUUGUUUCAGACAAGCCCAUGGAAAUUGAAUGGCCCUUAGAGAGUGAAUCAAAGGCAUUAAGAGGCGUUUGAAUGCAUUAAAGCUAAUAGUUAAUCAGCUAAAAAAUACUAGUAAAAUUAGCUAGCUAACAAAUAACUAUUAGCUAUGUCUUCAGCUAAUAUUAGCACAUAACUAUUAGUUUUAGUGCAUUUAAACAUCCUCUAAGAAAGAAUUAGAGUCUGUUUGGAUACCAUCAGCUAAAGCAAGUUGACUAAGAGGUGUUUGAAUACACUAGGUUAGUUGACUAAAAAAUUGCUAGUGGAAUUAACUAGCUAACUAUUAGAUAAGACUGUUUGCAUAUUCAACUAAUUUUAGUAGCUACCUAUUAUAGCUUUAAUGCAUUUAAACAUGACCUAAAAUUUAGCUCCUUUGGAGCUAAAAGUGGCAAAAAAAGAUACAUUUCCACCAUUUGUCAUUUUUAGUUCUCUCUUGUUUAAAACUUUAGCUUCUACAAUAACUAAAUUUUAGCUCCUGAGAUCCAAUCAGGGCCUUAGCUCACUUCCCUCCUCGAUCCAUAUAGUUGGAAGGGAAUAGUUUUUACAAACUACUCAUGAGAGUCAUGGACUCGUGGUACAACACAUCUGCUUCAGAAUUAGUACGUUGCAAGUGCUAAAAGACCAUACAGGCUCUCCACACCUCAGUUUCAAAUAGCUGCAGUAAUAUGGCAGAAUCUUCACUUCACCAAAUCGACAGGAUUAGAUGCGAUCCCACAACAUUCAGGCCACACAUCGAUAUUUUUCAAUCAGAAGUUGAUUGUUGUUGGUUCAAUCCAUUUGCCUCUUAUUACAUUACAAAUGGAACAUAGAGUGCAAGCAUUUCGAUUAAGGAAACGAGAAAGAAGGGUCUAAAUUUUUCAUUCAAAAGCAUAACAGAACUGGCUGGCCAAACAUGCGUUUCUGACAACUCCUUCACCUGCAGGGAGAAUGUAAGCGUUAGGAUUUCACAAAACUGUAGGGACAGGUGUGGGGUCCCAAAUGC